GGAUCCUAUGAACAAGAAUUUUGGAGAUGAUUUUGUAAAACAUAGUGCAAAGACCAAUAGGCCGAAGAUCCUUCAUAGAUUGCACAUUUUGGACUUUAGGAAUAAGAGAAAUAACAGUGUUGUUGAAACCUCUUAAGAGUUACCUAGUAUGAAAGAAUUCCCGAACUGCAGCACAAAGAUCAUAUUGAAGCACAUGCCAAUAUUUUUGAUAGAAAGAUAGUUAAA
rnacentral:misc_RNA from 1 species